GCAGCACCUUAACUUCAGCUUUCUGUAAGUUUGUAAAACUUAAAACACUAAAGCAGAAAAUGGUUUGAGAGUUGUAGUCAACACAAGUGUGUCUCUUCUUCAGGGAGAACAGGAGAAUCAUAGCACCAUGGAAACAAAGAAACUGCUUUGUGACAGAGGAAAACCUUUCAUUUCAGCUGGAGUGAAUGGCGGCUUGCUGCGGAUAACAGCAUGGAUGUUGGCUUUGGGAGUCUUGAAGCGUCACCUUUGACAUGUCCCUCAUUCGGCGGGGGGUCCAGAAGGACACUGACCGCCGCAAGCUGUCACCUCGGCCGGCUGAGGACGCCCUGCGCUACCGCUCUAUUAGGCUAAACGGCCCCUGACAUGCGAGCAGGGGCCGGCCUGAUCAGAGCCUGCGCGUUUGGAGAGCUUGACACUCAUGCUGCAUAAUGCACUAACAACUCAGGGCGCACCGGUCAUGUUAUGUGUCAGCAUGUUAUUUCCUUCCGUGGCGCCGGAUUUUAUGGAGAUGCGUGGGUGCGUUUGUGGCACCACUCGGAACUUUUGUGUCAAUAAAAAUCUACCUGAUUCAAACAAGUAACAUGUUGCCUUUUUUUUUUUUUAAUUUAUUUACUUAUUCAUUUUUUUUAACAUCAUCGCGUAUUUUCCUUAAUUUAAAUAACUCUCAAACGCGAGGAUUAAGUGUGCCUUAAAUGGGA